GAUGAACGCUGGCGGCGCGCCUAACACAUGCAAGUCGAACGAUUAAAGCACCUUCGGGUGUGUAUAAAGUGGCGAACGGCUGAGUAACACGUGGGCAACCUGCCCCUCUCAUUGGGAUAGCCACGGGAAACCGUGGAUAAUACCGAAUACUUCGGGACUUCCGCAUGGAAGACUCGAGAAAGCUCCGGCGGAGAGGGAUGGGCCCGCGGCCUGUUAGCUUGUUGGUGGGGUAACGGCCUACCAAGGCAAUGAUGGGUAGCUGGGUUGAGAGACCGACCAGCCAGAUUGGGACUGAGACACGGCCCAGACUCCUACGGGAGGCAGCAGUGGGGAAUCUUGCACAAUGGGCGAAAGCCUGAUGCAGCGACGCCGCGUGCGGGAUGAAGGCCUUCGGGUUGUAAACCGCUUUCAGCAGGGACGAGGCGAAAGUGACGGUACCUGCAGAAGAAGCCCCGGCUAACUACGUGCCAGCAGCCGCGGUAAUACGUAGGGGGCAAGCGUUAUCCGGAUUCAUUGGGCGUAAAGCGCUCGUAGGCGGUCUGUUAGGUCGGGAGUUAAAUCCGGGGGCUCAACCCCCGUUCGCUCCCGAUACCGGCAGACUUGAGUUUGGUAGGGGAAGGUGGAAUUCCUAGUGUAGCGGUGGAAUGCGCAGAUAUUAGGAAGAACACCAGUGGCGAAGGCGGCCUUCUGGGCCAUAACUGACGCUGAGGAGCGAAAGCUAGGGGAGCAAACAGG
rnacentral:rRNA from 1 species